AUUGAACGCUGGCGGAAUGCUUUACACAUGCAAGUCGAGCGGCAGCACGGGGGCAACCCUGGUGGCGAGCGGCGAACGGGUGAGUAAUACAUCGGAACAUGCCCAGUCGCGGGGGAUAACACUUCGAAAGAAGUGCUAAUACAGCAUACGUCCUGAGGGUGAAAGCGGGGGAUCUUCGGACCUCGCGCGAUUGGAGUGGCCGAUGUCAGAUUAGCUAGUUGGUAGGGUAAAGGCCUACCAAGGCAACGAUCUGUAGCUGGUCUGAGAGGAUGAUCAGCCACACUGGGACUGAGACACGGCCCAGACUCCUACGGGAGGCAGCAGUGGGGAAUUUUGGACAAUGGGGGCAACCCUGAUCCAGCCAUUCCGCGUGAGUGAAGAAGGCCUUCGGGUUGUAAAGCUCUUUCGGCAGGAACGAAACGGCGAGCUCUAACAUAGCUUGCUAAUGACGGUACCUGAAGAAGAAGCACCGGCUAACUACGUGCCAGCCGCCGCAGUAAUAC
rnacentral:rRNA from 1 species